GACGAACGCUGGCGGCGUGCCUAAUACAUGCAAGUAGAACGCUGAAGAGAGGAGCUUGCUCUUCUUGGAUGAGUUGCGAACGGGUGAGUAACGCGUAGGUAACCUGCCUUGUAGCGGGGGAUAACUAUUGGAAACGAUAGCUAAUACCGCAUAACAAUGGAUGACACAUGUCAUUUAUUUGAAAGGGGCAAUUGCUCCACUACAAGAUGGACCUGCGUUGUAUUAGCUAGUAGGUGAGGUAAUGGCUCACCUAAGCGACGGUUCAUAGCCGACCUGAGAGGGGUGUCCGCCAAAAUGGGAACGGGACAAGGCCCAGGAUCCUAAGGGAGGGAGCAGGAGGGAAACUUUGGCAAAGGGGGCAACGCUGAACGAGGAACGCCGCGUGAGGGAAGAAGGGUGUCGGAUCGUAAAGAUCUGUUGUAAGUCAAGAAAGGGAGUGAGAGUGGAAAGUUCACACUGUGACGGUAGCUUACCAGAAAGGGACGGCUAACUACGUG
rnacentral:rRNA from 1 species